rnacentral:rRNA from 1 species
GACGAACGCUGGCGGCGUGCUUAACACAUGCAAGUCGAACGGAAAGGCCCUGCUUGCAGGGUACUCGAGUGGCGAACGGGUGAGUAACACGUGGGUGAUCUGCCCUCCACUUCGGGAUAAGACUGGGAAACUGGGUCUAUUACCGGAUAGGAGCCCUCCUUAGUGUGAUGGUUGGAAAGUUUUUUCGGUGUAGGAUGAGCUCGCGGCCUAUCAGCUUGUUGGUGGGGUAAUGGCCUACCAAGGCGGCGACGGGUAGCCGGCCUGAGGGGGUGGACGGCCACAUUGGGACUGAGAAACGGCCCAGGCUCCUACGGGGGGCAGCAGGGGGGAAAAUUGCACAAGUGGCGCAAGCCUGGUGCAGCGACGCCGCGUGGGGGAUGACGGGCUUCGGGUUGUAAACUCCUUUCGCUAGGGACGAAGCUUUUUGUGACGGUACCUAGAUAAGAAGCACCGGCUAACUACGUG